CCCCUUUCAGUGUUGCACCUGGAGAGCAUCCAGUACUCUACUAGUCUCCGCUAUGGGAGGGAGAGUAGAGCAGAGGCCUAUCCAUUCCAUUCCUAGCUUGGCCAGUGGCUAGUGAGUGGAAGGCAAUCUGCUACAAUU
rnacentral:snoRNA from 1 species